AGAACUGAUAAUUUAAAAAGUCGAAUGACGGAGUAACGCCCCGAAAGGCUUUAGCUAAGACUGCGACGUGCGGUAAAGUAGAUAAGAACUUUAUUGUACGAAGCUCGCAGAAGACGGCUGAGAGUACACCCUAAAGACGCAAUGCGGAACAGGAAAAGCGAACCAGAGGUGGUCGAGUGUAUGAUAGGUCGGGUUUCCAUAAA
rnacentral:ncRNA from 1 species